AAUGGGCGCAAGCCUGAUCCAGCAAUGCCGCGUGUGUGAAGAAGGCCCUCGGGUUGUAAAGCACUUUUAUCAGGAGCGAAAUCUGCAGAGUUAAUACCUCUGUAGUCUGACGGUACCUGAGGAAUAAGCACCGGCUAACUCCGUGCCAGCAGCCGCGGUAAUACGGAGGGUGCAAGCGUUAAUCGGAAUUACUGGGCGUAAAGCGUGCGUAGGCGGUUUGUUAAGUCUGUUGUGAAAGCCCCGGGCUCAACCUGGGAAUGGCAAUGGAUACUGGCAAGCUAGAGUGUGAUAGAGGAUGGUGGAAUUCCCGGUGUAGCGGUGAAAUGCGUAGAGAUCGGGAGGAACAUCAGUGGCGAAGGCGGCCAUCUGGAUCAACACUGACGCUGAGGCACGAAAGCGUGGGGAGCAAACAGGAUU
rnacentral:rRNA from 1 species